ensembl:lncRNA
GGAGAGACAGGAGACAGACGGUAGUAAUGGAAAGACAGUAGACAGACAGUAGUAACGGAGAGGGGAGACAGUAGACAGACGGUAGUAAUGGAGAGGAGAGAGACAGUAGACAGUAGACAAACGGUAGUAACGGAGACAGUAGACAGUAGACAAACGGUAGUAACGGAGACAGUAGACAGACGGUAGUAACGGAGAGGAGAGAGACAGUAGACAAACGGUAGUAACAGAGACAGUAGACAGACAGUAGUAACGGAGAGGGGAGACAGUAGAGAGUAGUAACGGAGACAGUAGACAGUAGACAGGCGGUAGUAACGGAGAGGAGAGACAGGAGACAGACGGUAGUAACGGAGAGACAGUAGACAGACGGUCCUAACGGAGACAGUAGUAACGGAGACGGGAGCGACAGUAGUAACGGAGACGGGGGCGACAGUAGACAGUACAACAGUAGUAACGGAGAGGGGAGCGACAGUAGACAGUAGUAACGGAGACAGUAGACAGUAGUAACGGAGAGGGGAGCGGCAGGAGACAAACGGUAGUAACGGAGACAGUAGACACGGAGACAACAGACAGUAGUAACGGAGAGGGGAGCGACAGUAGAC